rnacentral:rRNA from 1 species
UACAGAGGGUGCAAACGUUGUUCGGAAUUACUGGGCGUAAAGCGCGUGUAGGCGGCCCUGCAAGUCGGAUGUGAAAUCCCACGGCUCAACCGUGGAAGUGCAUUCGAAACUGCGGGGCUGGAGUACUGGAGAGGAAGGUGGAAUGCUCGGUGUAGAGGUGAAAUUCGUAGAUAUCGAGCGGAACACCGGUGGCGAAAGCGGCCUUCUGGGCCACAUCUGACGCUCAGACGCGAAAGCUAGGGUAGCAAACGGG